UUUCCGUAGGUGAACCUGCGGAAGGAUCAUUAAAGUUAUAGUCCCCCGGCCCCUCCGGGCUGGGGUCUUCUAUACCACCCUUUGUUUAUUACACCUUUGUUGCUUUGGCAGGCCUGCCCUCGGGCUGCUGGCUCCGGCCGGCUCGUGCCUGCCAGAGGACCUAAACUCUGUUUGUAUAUGAAGUCUGAGUACUAUAUAAUAGUUAAAACUUUCAACAACGGAUCUCUCGGUUCUG
rnacentral:misc_RNA from 1 species